GAUGAACGCUGGCGGCGUGCCUAAUACAUGCAAGUCGAGCGAACAGACGAGGAGCUUGCUCCUCUGACGUUAGCGGCGGACGGGUGAGUAACACGUGGAUAACCUACCUUUAACUCUGGGAUAACUCCGGGAAACCGGAGCUAAUACCGGAUAAUAUCUUGAACCGCAUGGUUCGAUGGUGAAAGGCGGUUUUGCUGUCACUUAUAGGUUGAUCCGCGCCGCAUUAGCUAGUUGGUAAGGUAACUGCUUACCAAGGCAACGAUGCGUAGCCGGCCUGAGAGGGUGGUCGGCCACACUGGAACUGAGACACGGUCCAGACUCCUACGGGAGGCAGCAGUAGGGAAUCUUCCACAAUGGGCGAAAGCCUGACGGAGCAACGCCGCAUGAGUGAUGAGGGUCUUCGGAUCGUAAAACUCUGUUAUUAGGGAAGAACAAAUGUGUAAGUAACUAUGCACGUCUUGACGGUACCUAAUCAGAAAGCCACGGCUAACUACGUG
rnacentral:rRNA from 1 species